rnacentral:rRNA from 1 species
GGAAAGACCCCGUGAACCUUUACUGUACUCUGAUAUUGGCUUUUGACUUGUCAUGUGUAGGAUAGCCGGGAGACGGUGAAGCAAAUUCGUCAGGAUUUGUGGAGUCAUCCUUGAAAUACCGGCCUUGACAUGUUGGAAAUCUAACGAAGCCCCAUGAAUCUGGGGUUCGGACAUUGUCAGACGGGCAGUUUGACUGGGGCGGUUUCCUCCUAAAAUGUAACGGAGGAGUCCAAAGCUUGUCUCAUCGUGGUUGGCAAUCACGAAUAGAGCGCAAAAGUAUAAGACAAGUUGACUGCGAGACCUACAAGUCGAGCAGGUACGAAAGUAGGGUUUAGUGAUCCGGCGGUGGAAAGUGGAAUCGCCGUCGCUUAACGGAUAAAAGGUACUCCGGGGA